UGGGGAAUAUUGGACAAUGGGGGCAACCCUAAUCCAGCGACGCCGCGUGUGUGAAGAAGGCCUGCGGGUUGUAAAGCACUUUUAGUGGGGAUGAAAAGCUCAGGGCUAAUACCUCUGGGUCUUGACCUAACCCACAGAAAAAGCACCGGCUAACUCUGUGCCAGCAGCCGCGGUAAUACAGAGGGUGCGAGCGUUAAUCGGAAUUACUGGGCGUAAAGCGUGCGUAGACGGGUUGCGUAAGUCAGAUGUGAAAGCCCCGGGCUCAACCUGGGAAUUGCAUUUGAGACUGCGUAGCUAGGGUGCGGAAGAGGGAAGCGGAAUUUCCGGUGUAGCGGUGAAAUGCGUAGAUAUCGGAAGGAACACCAGUGGCGAAAGCGGCUUCCUGGUCCAGCACCGACGUUCAGGCACGAAAGCGUGGGGAGCAAACAGGAUUAGAUACCCUGGUAGUCCACGCCAUAAACGAUGAGGACUAGACGUUGAGAGGGUAAGCCUCCCAGUGUCGCAGCUAACGCGAUAAGUCCUCC
rnacentral:rRNA from 1 species